UUGAUACAUGUAUAAAUGUACUGACCAAAAUUGAAAUAAAACUAGAUACUCUAUUGACACAGGAUGCGAAAAAAAUAUACUUUCCCAUACAAAAUGAGGCAGAUCUCCACAAAGUUGAGAAAAAAAUUGGGGAAGACUUCGCUUCGUUUAUUCCCAUCAUGGAAAGAAUAUUGUUUCCUUCUGGAGUUGUAAAAAACUUAUGUAGAGUACUUUCCGAAGAAUUGAUUAUGAACUAUAACUUUGAAGGAAUAAAAGGAAAAAUGGCUUUUAAGUCCUUUGAAAAUAUAAAUAAGUUAAUGUAUGAGGUGUCAAAGAGGGAAGGAUACGACGAGAAGGAAUAUAAGAAGGAUGUUAAAAAGGCAUUCCAUUUGAUAAAAUUAAGGCAGUUUAAGAAAACACAUCUCGCUAAAAAACGUAGCGAGAAAUAAGAAUUUAUUUAAACAUAAUCCAAAAAUGAAUUACAUUUUAUGUUUUUGUAUGUAUUCACAAUGAGUUUG